rnacentral:rRNA from 1 species
GACGAACGCUGGCGGCGUGCUUAACACAUGCAAGUCGAACGGAAAGGCCCUGCUUUUGUGGUGUGCUCGAGUGGCGAACGGGUGAGUAACACGUGAGUAACCUGCCCUUGACUUUGGGAUAACUUCAGGAAACUGGGGCUAAUACCGGAUAGGAGCUCCUGCUGCAUGGUGGGGGGUGGAAAGUUUCGGCGGUUGGGGAUGGACUCGCGGCUUAUCAGCUAGUUGGUGGGGUAGUGGCUUACCAAGGCUUGGACGGGUAGCCGGCCUGGGAGGGUGACCGGCCACAUUGGGACUGAGAUACGGCCCAGAGGCCUACGGGGGGAAGCAGUGGGGAAUAUUGCACAAUGGGCGGAAGCGUGAUGCAGCAACGCCGCGUGCGGGAGGCCGGCCUUCGGGUUGUAAACCGCUUUCGCCUGUGACGAAGCGUGAGUGACGGUAAUGGGGAAAGAAGCACCGGCUAACUACGU